rnacentral:rRNA from 1 species
CCUACGGGAGGCAGCAGUGAGGAAUAUUGGUCAAUGGACGAGAGUCUGAACCAGCCAAGUAGCGUGAAGGAUGACUGCCCUAUGGGUUGUAAACUUCUUUUAUAUGGGAAUAAAAUGUUCCACGUGUGGGAUUUUGUAUGUACCAUAUGAAUAAGGAUCGGCUAACUCCGUGCCAGCAGCCGCGGUAAUACGGAGGCUACGUGCGUUAUCCGGAUUUAUUGGGGUUAAAGGGAGCGUAGGUGGAUUGUUAAGUCAGUUGUGAAAGUUUGCGGCUCAACCGUAAAAUUGCAGUUGAAACUGGCAGUCGUGAGUACAGUAGAGGUGGGCGGAAUUCGUGGUGUAGCGGUGAAAUGCUUAGAUAUCACGAAGAACUCCGAUUGCGAAGGCAGCUCCCUGGACUGCAACUGACACUGAGGCUCGAAAGUGUGGGUAUCAAACAGGAUUAGAUACCCUAGUAGUC